rnacentral:misc_RNA from 1 species
AGAUCGCUUGUGAAUGACCGACAAGCAGGUGUGAAUCCAGUGGCUUGCUUGAACUCUCGAUUUUUGAAUUCAUGUGGAGAGGCCUUUCUGAUCAUAUUGAUUUUGCUGUUUUUGCUCUUCUGAACCUACUGAAGUUUGUUUUUUCGUUUAGCUUAUUUGUCAUCUGUUGUGCAUAAUUGUCAUUCUGAGCCUGUUGUUGUUCAAUGAACUCUUUUUCUAGCAAUGCCAUCUGUCAAUCUAUUAACUUUCAACCUUAUGGUUAACUGCUGUAAUAUUUUUGUAGUGAAAUGCAUUGCCUGAUGUCUCUUUGCCUGGCUUUGAAUGACAAUUAUGCACAACAGAUGACAA